rnacentral:misc_RNA from 1 species
CCCAAUCUCAAUCCCCAAUUUCCAUUUUCGACCGUUACAAAACAAGUAAUAAAGAAGGAAAACGAACAAAUUUCAACGGUUAUGAUUAGUUGUAUAUUCAGAACGCCACCCCACGUGUACGUUCAUGAUUAACUUACAACUGUACUUUGCUGUUCAUUUCAUUCAUCAACCCUAUCUAUGGAGAAAUUUCUAUGCAUGAGUUGUGCACACUCAUUUCCCUAAUAAUAAUCAUACUCAUCAUCAACCUUAAUGCAAGUCACCGUCUCACCACUAUAAAUACUCACUCUGCUCCCUGUUUCUUUUCAGGCUCACAAUUGACAAUCUCUUCUCCUCGAUUUCGUUUGUAGAAUGGCAUACGCAAUGAUUAUUUUGCUUGCACUGCUGGUAUUGCUGGUGGGAUCCGCCAUGGGACAAUCUCCGGCACCGUCGCCCAGCCAAUCUCCAGCGACUCCACGACCGGCUGCAUCUCCUACUCCUGUUCCUCCUGUUGAACCACCUGCAACUGCUCCUUCUUCUCCUCCUCCAUCGUCAUCUUCCCCAGCUCCGUCUGGCCCUCCUUCAGCGCCCAAUCCACCAGCUGAAGUUCCUGGUCCGGCAGCAACGGGCGCCGUUUCUAGCAGACUAUCGAUGGUUGGAUUGAUAAGCGUUGGGUUAUUGGGUGCCGCUUUUGUUAUUUAGGAUGCUGCAGGGUAAUUGAUGAUGGGGUAGCUUCAAAACCCCAACCUCCUUUUUUCUGAUUAUACUUUUCUUGUAUGGAGGGAUUAUUUCUAUUUGUUUAUUGGAUAUUUAAUUUUAAAGUCAUAUAUAUUUUAUUUU